rnacentral:tRNA from 1 species
GGAUUGUGGCUCAGAGGUAGAGUGCUUGCCUAGCCUGUGUGAGGCACUGGGUUCGAUUCUCAGCACCA